CUUUCUUUGCUGGCGACCGGCGCACGGGUAAGUAACACGUAUCCAACCUGCCCUUUACUCGGGGAUAGCCUUUCGAAAGAAAGAUUAAUACCCGAUAGCAUAAUGAUUCCGCAUGGUUUCAUUAUUAAAGGAUUCCGGUAAAGGAUGGGGAUGCGUUCCAUUAGGUUGUUGGUGAGGUAACGGCUCACCAAGCCUUCGAUGGAUAGGGGUUCUGAGAGGAAGGUCCCCCACAUUGGAACUGAGACACGGUCCAA
rnacentral:rRNA from 1 species